GCCUGCAACAUACAGGAUGCAUGUUACAUAAGAAAUGGCUUAUAUGACUCUUACUCCAGAGAUCAGGCCAGCGUCAGUGUCCUGGGGCUGCCAUCACAAGGUACGCCAACCUGUAUGGCUUAAAACAACAGAAACUGAUUCUCUCACGGUACUGGAAGCUACAAGUCUGAGAUCAAGGAAAGCUACCUAGGGUUGAAUAUCCAUCCAAAAGCUCUUCGUUAUCAAGAAAAGGCAUUUAAAAGGCAGUACUUAAGGAGGGGAAAACAAGGUUUUCCAAAAUAGAAAUCUGAGAGAUUUUCAAGCAGCACAGACCGCACGUGGGAAGAAGAGCAGGGACAACAUCACAGACUUUCUCUCGGAAGGAACAUGGUGGUUGGUUCACUGGG